GACAGAGGCCCCAAGCGUUAGGCGGAAUCACUGGGCUUAAAGCGUGUGUAGGCGGAUCGUUAAGUGUCUUGUGAAAUCCCACGGCUCACCCGUGGAACUGCUGGGCAUACUGGCGAUCUUGGGCCAACUAGGGGCAGUCGGAACAAGCGGUGGAGCGGUGAAAUGCGUAGAUAUCGCUUGGAACGCCGAAGGUGAAAACAGACUGCUGGGGUUGCGCCGACGCUGAG
rnacentral:rRNA from 1 species